ACGAACGCUGGCGGCGUGCUUAACACAUGCAAGUCGAACGGAAAGGCCCCUUCGGGGGUCCUCGAGUGGCGAACGGGUGAGUAACACGUGAGUAACCUGCCCUUGACUUCGGGAUAACUUCAGGAAACUGGGGCUAAUACCGGAUAGGAAUCCUUGCUGCAUGGUGGGGGUUGGAAAGCUUCGGCGGUUUUGGAUGGACUCGCGGCUUAUCAGCUUGUUGGUGGGGUAGUGGCUUACCAAGGCUUUGACGGGUAGCCGGCCUGAGAGGGCGACCGGCCACAUUGGGACUGAGAUACGGCCCAGACUCCUACGGGAGGCAGCAGUGGGGAAUAUUGCACAAUGGGCGGAAGCCUGAUGCAGCAACGCCGCGGGCGGGAUGACGGCCUUCGGGUUGUAAACCGCUUUCAGCAGGGGCGAAGCUUGUGGUGACGGUACCUGCAGAAGAAGCACCGGCUAACUACGUG
rnacentral:rRNA from 1 species